rnacentral:rRNA from 1 species
GAUGAACGCUGGCGGCGUGCCUAAUACAUGCAAGUCGAGCGAACAGACGAUGAGCUUGCGCCUCUGACGUUAGCGGCGGACGGGUGAGUAACGCGUGGAUCACCUACCUAUAUUACUGGGAUAACUUCGGGAAACCGGUGAUAAUACCGCAGCAUAUGUUGAACCGCAUGGUUCAAUAGUUAAUGACGGUUUUGCUGUCUCUUAUAGAUGGUUCCGCGCCGCAUUGGCUAGUUGGUAGGGUACCGGCCUACCAAGGCGACGAGGCGUAGCCGACCUGAGAGGAUGAUCGGCCACACUGGAAGUGAGACACGGUCCAGACUCCUACGGGAGGCAGCAGUGGGGAAUAUGGGACAAUGGGCGCAAGCCUGACCCAGCCAGCCCGCGUGGGUGAAGAAGGUGUUCGGGUUGUAAAGCCCUUUUAUUGGGAAAGAAAAGCAGUAGGUUAAUACCCCGCUGUUCUGACGGUACCCAAAGAAAAAGCACCGGCUAACUUCGUG